rnacentral:rRNA from 1 species
GACGAACGCUGGCGGCGUGCUUAACACAUGCAAGUCGAACGGAAAGGCCCUGCUUUUGUGGGGUGCUCGAGUGGCGAACGGGUGAGUAACACGUGAGUAACCUGCCCUUGACUUUGGGAUAACUUCAGGAAACUGGGGCUAAUACCGGAUAGGAGCUCCUGCUGCAUGGUGGGGGUUGGAAAGUUUCGGCGGUUGGGGAUGGACUCGCGGCUUAUCAGCUUGUUGGUGGGGUAGUGGCUUACCAAGGCUUUGACGGGUAGCCGGCCUGAGAGGGUGACCGGCCACAUUGGGACUGAGAUACGGCCCAGACUCCUACGUGGGGCAGCAGUGGGGAAUAUUGCACAAUGGGCGGAAGCCUGAUGCAGCAACGCCGCGUGCGGGAUGACGGCCUUCGGGUUGUAAACCGCUUUCGCCUGUGACGAAGCGUGAGUGACGGUAAUGGGUAAAGAAGCACCGGCUAACUACGUG